rnacentral:rRNA from 1 species
AUGAACGCUAGCGACAGGCUUAACACAUGCAAGUCGAGGGGCAGCGGGGUGUAGCAAUACACCGCCGGCGACCGGCGCACGGGUGAGUAACGCGUAUGCAACUUGCCUAUCAGAGGGGGAUAACCCGGCGAAAGUCGGACUAAUACCGCAUGAAGCAGGGGCCCCGCAUGGGGAUAUUUGCUAAAGAUUCAUCGCUGAUAGAUAGGCAUGCGUUCCAUUAGGCAGUUGGCGGGGUAACGGCCCACCAAACCGACGAUGGAUAGGGGUUCUGAGAGGAAGGUCCCCCACAUUGGUACUGAGACACGGACCAAACUCCUACGGGAGGCAGCAGUGAGGAAUAUUGGUCAAUGGGCGCGAGCCUGAACCAGCCAAGUCGCGUGAGGGAUGAAGGUUCUAUGGAUCGUAAACCUCUUUUAUAAGGGAAUAAAGUGCGGGACGUGUCCCGUUUUGUAUGUACCUUAUGAAUAAGGAUCGGCUAACUCCGUGCCAGCAGCCGCGGUAAUACGGAGGAUCCGAGCGUUAUCCGGAUUUAUUGGGUUUAAAGGGUGCGUAGGCGGCCUUUUAAGUCAGCGGUGAAAGUCUGUGGCUCAACCAUAGAAUUGCCGUUGAAACUGGGGGGCUUGAGUAUGUUUGAGGCAGGCGGAAUGCGUGGUGUAGCGGUGAAAUGCUUAGAUAUCACGCAGAACCCCGAUUGCGAAGGCAGCCUGCCAAGCCAUGACUGACGCUGAUGCACGAAAGCGUGGGGAUCAAACAGGAUUAGAUACCCUGGUAGUCCACGCAGUAGACGAUGAUCACUAGCUGUUUGCGAUACAGUGUAAGCGGCACAGCGAAAGCGUUAAGUGAUCCACCUGGGGAGUACGCCGGCAACGGUGAAACUCAAAGGAAUUGACGGGGGCCCGCACAAGCGGAGGAACAUGUGGUUUAAUUCGAUGAUACGCGAGGAACCUUACCCGGGUUUGAACGCAUUCGGACCGAGGUGGAAACACCUUUUCUAGCAAUAGCCGUUUGCGAGGUGCUGCAUGGUUGUCGUCAGCUCGUGCCGUGAGGUGUCGGCUUAAGUGCCAUAACGAGCGCAACCCUUGCCACUAGUUACUAACAGGUGAUGCUGAGGACUCUGGUGGGACUGCCAGCGUAAGCUGCGAGGAAGGCGGGGAUGACGUCAAAUCAGCACGGCCCUUACAUCCGGGGCGACACACGUGUUACAAUGGCGUGGACAAAGGGAGGCCACCUGGCGACAGGGAGCGAAUCCCCAAACCACGUCUCAGUUCGGAUCGGAGUCUGCAACCCGACUCCGUGAAGCUGGAUUCGCUAGUAAUCGCGCAUCAGCCAUGGCGCGGUGAAUACGUUCCCGGGCCUUGUACACACCGCCCGUCAAGCCAUGGGAGCCGGGGGUACCUGAAGUCCGUAACCGCGAGGAUCGGCCUAGGGUAAAACUGGUGACUGGGGCU